rnacentral:lncRNA from 1 species
UCCACUUUCCUGUAACAUCUUGGGGGCCACAGAAUGGAAACUAAAGGAGAUAUCUGGCAG